CCUACGGGGGGCAGCAGUGGGGAAUAUUGCGCAAUGGGCGAAAGCCUGACGCAGCGACGCCGCGUGAGGGAUGAAGGUCUUCGGAUCGUAAACCUCUGUUAGCAGGGAAGAACGGUCACUGUGCUAAUCAGCAGUGAAUUGACGGUACCUGCAAAGGAAGCACCGGCUAACUCCGUGCCAGCAGCCGCGGUAAUACGGAGGGUGCGAGCGUUAAUCGGAAUUAAUGGGCGUAAAGCGCGCGUAGGCGGUAUGUCAAGUCAAGGGUGAAAUCCCCGGGCUCAACGUGGGAAGUGCCUUGGAAACUGGCAAACUGGAGUGUGGGAGAGGAGAGUGGAAUUCCAGGUGUAGGGGUGAAAUCCGUAGAUAUCUGGAGGAACAUCAGUGGCGAAGGCGGCUAUCUGGCACAUAACUGACGCUGAGGCGCGAAAGCGUGGGUAGCAAACAGGAUUAGAUACCCGUGUAGUC
rnacentral:rRNA from 1 species